UGGGGAAUUUUGGACAAUGGGCGAAAGCCUGAUCCAGCAAUGCCGCGUGUGUGAAGAAGGCCUUCGGGUCGUAAAGCGCUUUUGUCCGGAAAGAAAUCCUUGGCUCUAAUACAGUCGGGGGAUGACGGUACCGAAGAAUAAGCACCGGCUAACUACGUGCCAGCAGCCGCGGUAAUACGUAGGGUGCAAGCGUUAAUCGGAAUUACUGGGCGUAAAGCGUGCGCAGGCGGUUUGCUAAGACCGAUGUGAAAUCCCCGGGCUCAACCUGGGAACUGCAUUGGUGACUGGCAGGCUAGAGUAUGGCAGAGGGGGGUAGAAUUCCACGUGUAGCAGUGAAAUGCGUAGAGAUGUGGAGGAAUACCGAUGGCGAAGGCAGCCCCCUGGGCCAAAUACUGACGCUCAUGCACGAAAGCGUGGGGAGCAAACAGGAUUAGAUACCCUGGUAGUCCACGCCCUAAACGAUGUCAACUAGUUGUGGGGAUUCAUUUCCUUAGUAACGUAGCUAACGCGUGAAGUUGACCGCCUGGGGAGUACGGUCGC
rnacentral:rRNA from 1 species